UCACCCGGAUGCUCUUACGUAAAACGCGU
rnacentral:sRNA from 1 species